UACGUAGGGUCCGAGCGUUGUCCGGAUUUAUUGGGCGUAAAGAGCUCGUAGGCGGUUCCGUACGUCCGAUGUGAGAACUCAGGGCUCAACCCGGAGACGCCAUCUGAUACUGCGGUGACUGGAGUCUGGUAGGGGAACACGGAAUUCCUGGUGUAGCGGUGAAAUGCGCAGAUAUCAGGAGGAACACCGAUGGCGAAGGCAGUGUUCUGGGCCAGUACUGACGCUGAGGAGCGAAAGCGUGGGGAGCAAACAGG
rnacentral:rRNA from 1 species